rnacentral:lncRNA from 1 species
UCAACUUUAUAAAAUAUCGGUAUAACUAUUUGCCCCAGCGUUGUUCUACACUCCAUGAUAUGAACCAGCUCCUCGAGGCACCAGCUGGAGUCCGCGUACCGUCUUGAGAAGACGAUGAGAGAGAUCUUAGAACCUUGGAUUGCCCGCCCUAGGGCGGUAGUUAUAUUUUCUCCUCUUUUUAGUUCUUCGUCGUCAAUAAAGGCGUUGACUCCGGCCUUUGUUAAUGCUUCAUAGAGGUCAAUUAAAAUUUAAAUUUAAAUUUAAAUAAGAAACACAAACAAACAAAACCCAGCAUCCCCUUCCUCCGCAGCCAUUCGCCGGCGACUUCCCUGUCGUGAUUACUGUAGCCUUAACAGCUUAAGCUUUAUUGUACGAUUUUAUUAAGAGAGGUCUAAGAAUUCACAGUUGUAUGCAUAAACAUGAUCCGAAGAAGGGAAAGGUUUUCCUUUAUUUUAUUUUAUGUUGCACAGAUAGGGGCAUGGAUAUGUCAGAAACAGGACACGGUUACACGAAAAAUCUCAAAAGAUAAGAACACGAACACAACUAGGACAUGACAUGUAAAUUCUAAUAAAUUUAUAAUAAAUAUUACAUAAGUUUUUAUAUUUACAUAACUGCCCGAAAUGUUAGGUGUUAUAAGUUUUUGAUAUUUACAAAUAUGCCCCAAAAUAUUUUAGAUUAAAGGAUUUUUUAACUUUAAUCUUUGAAAAAUAUUGAAAUUUAAUAAAAAUCUGGUGUUAUACUACAUAUUAAUUAUAGUUCAUUGAUAUGUCCUUAAUUCAAAUUAAUUAAUGUGUAUUUUAUUUAAUGUUUCCCAUUAAUUAUUCAUUUGAUUUAACAUUCUUUAAAUUUGAAAGACUCAAUUAAUGUACCUAAAAUGUUAGUACCGAGUAUGUGCCGAAAUAUUUGUAUCGAAAUGUAUAUACUGAAUUGUAUGCACUGAAAUGUAUUAUAUUAAAUUAAUGCACCCAAAUGUAUCAAAAUGUGUGCACCGAAAUGUUAUGACUAAAUUGUAUCAUACUAAAUUAAUGUACCUAAAUGUAUAUACCAAAUAUAUGUACAUAAAUGUUAAUACCGAAAUGUAUUAUAUUAAAUUAAUGUACCAACGUAUUUGUACCGAAAUGUGUGUAUCAAAAUGUAUGCAUUGAAAUGUAUUAUAUUGAAUUUAAUAUACCUAAAUGAAGAAGACAAAGUAUUUCUCGAUAUAUUGUACAAUAAAAAUUAAUUUAUCUAAAUAUUUAAAAUAAAAUAUAUUGAAUAAAAUGAAAAUGAAAAUGAUAAUGUAACAUAAUUAAUAGAUCAGAAUUUGGAAGAAAAAGAGAAAUAAUUAAAACUUCUAAAUAUAAUUAAUAAGGAGGUGAUUAAUGUCAAGAGACUAAAAUUAGAUUUUAAUCUUACUUAUGAUUUUAGUAAAAAGGUCAUCUUUAUUAAGGAUUAUAAUGAAGUUUUUCAUAAUUGAAGGGAACUUUAACGAAAAGCUCCCAGUACUGUUCACUGUAACGAAAAAUCACAUUUUUACAUUAAAAAGUCAAUACUGGUACUAUUCACUUUAUCAUUUAUUUUGUCUUUAUCGUUAAAACUCAAAGUUUUCAAACCAUUUUCAUUAUUUUUUCUUAAAUUGAAUUGUCCCAAAAUGUUUUUAUAUUUACAAAAAGAUCCCUGCCGUGUCUUGAUCGUGUCAAAACCGUGUCCGAACACUUUGGGGUUUCCCAGUGUUGGUGCAACAUAGGUUUUAUUGAAUCUAUAAACCGAAAGUAAAUAAAGAUACGUUAAAGCCUGAAUUCAUAAAAGAAGAACUUAGUAGAUACCUGUUUUCGAGAUGCCAUCCAGCCAAAUUUGCAGCAAGAGUAAGAGCAGCUCUCCACCUCGCUACCUUCUUUUUAUCUGUAUGUUUCAGCAACGAUUGCGCAACACGACCAGUCUGUUUCUUGACAUCCGAAGGAUCAAUGUCAUAGAAUAUCGGGUAAACCAUUUGUCCCAGCGUUGUUCUACACUCAAUGAUAUGAACCAGCUCCUCGAGGCACCAGCUGGAGUCCGCGUACCCGCUUGAGAAGACGACGAUUGACAUCUUAGAACCUUGGAUUGCCCGCACUAGUACGUUAGUUAAUUCUUCUCCUCUUUUUAUUUCUUCUUCGUCAAAAAAGACGUUGACUCCGGCAUUUGUUAAUGCUUUACGGAGGUGGCUUGUGAAGCUUUUACGUGUGUCUUUGCCUCUGAAGUUUAAGAACACAUCGUAGAGCGAACCUUUCGAGAAGGAGAAGAACGACGAGGAGGACAAGGAGGUGGAGGAUGAUGAAGAGGAGGCUUCAUCGGGGACCGAGAAGGAUGACGAGGAGGACAAGGAGGUGGAGGAUGAUGAAGAGGAGGCUUCAUCGGGGACCGAGAUGGACGACGAGG